rnacentral:rRNA from 1 species
AGAUUGAACGCUGGCGGCAUGCUUUACACAUGCAAGUCGAACGGUAACAGGCCGCAAGGUGCUGACGAGUGGCGAACGGGUGAGUAAUGUAUCGGAACGUGCCCAGUCGUGGGGGAUAACGCAGCGAAAGCUGCGCUAAUACCGCAUACGAUCUAUGGAUGAAAGCGGGGGACCGUAAGGCCUCGCGCGAUUGGAGCGGCCGAUAUCAGAUUAGGUAGUUGGUGGGGUAAAGGCUCACCAAGCCAACGAUCUGUAGCUGGUCUGAGAGGACGACCAGCCACACUGGGACUGAGACACGGCCCAGACUCCUACGGGAGCAGCAGUGGGGAAUUUGGACAAGUGGGCGCGAAGCCUGAUCCAGCAAUCGCCGCGUCGCGAAGGAAGAACGGCCGUUGGUUAGUAACGUGUACGUUUU